rnacentral:rRNA from 1 species
UACGUAGGGUGCAAGCGUUAAUCGGAAUUACUGGGCGUAAAGCGUGCGCAGGCGGUUUGGUAAGACAGAUGUGAAAUCCCCGGGCUUAACCUGGGAACUGCAUUGGUGACUGGCGGUCUUGAGCCAGCUAGGGCUACCGGAACAAAUGGUGGAGCGGUGAAAUGCGUAGAUAUCAUUUGGAACGCCAAUGGUGAAAACAGGUAGCUGGGGCUGUGCUGACACUGAGACACGAAAGCCAGGGAGCAAACGGG